rnacentral:rRNA from 1 species
UACGUAGGGUGCAAGCGUUGUCCGGAAUUAUUGGGCGUAAAGAGCUCGUAGGCGGUUCGUCGCGUCGGCUGUGAAAUCCCGAGGCUCAACCUCGGGUCUGCAGUCGAUACGGGCGGACUAGAGUGCGGUAGGGGAGACUGGAAUUCCCGGUGUAGCAGUGAAAUGCGUAGAGAUCGGGAGGAACACCAGUGGCGAAGGCGGCUACCUGGACCAGCACUGACACUGAGGCACGAAAGCGUGGGGAGCAAACAGG